rnacentral:pre_miRNA from 1 species
AGUGGAAUUACUGGGUCAUAUGGUAGUUCUAUUUUUAAUUUUUAGAGGAACGGCCACACUGCUUUCCACAAUGGCUAUACAUUUUGCAUUCCCACCAGCAAU